rnacentral:sRNA from 1 species
CUCCUGCUUGAGGAUCACUAUCCAGACGUACUCUCUCCAUGGAAGCUGUGUUUUACCUUCUGCUUUUCCUGGAGAAAUCUCACUAAGAUCCUUUCAAGCCCAGUCUAUAACAUGCCAUCCCCUUUCGUGGACACUGAGUAAGCACAGUUGGACAGUCUUCUGUAUGAACUGGAGCAGUGUUGUAAGGAGGAUAUGGAACCAAGAAAUCCUAUUCAAACCUGAGCAUCUUUUAAAAGUUAAGUCUGGAAGCAGCAGGAGAAGGAGCAGGAAGCACCAGAAGACACAGAUUUGUGGACAAAUUUUGGGAAGGUGAAUGAAUUAAGACAACCUAGACCUUGGAGCAGAACUUGGAGAUAAUGAUGUGCUUUGAUACUGGAUACACAGAAGGAUAGAGUAAGGCUUGAGACAAGAACAAAAUCUUCAUGGGAAGAAAUCAAACACUUGGGAUCUCUCCAGAAAUCUGCUGCUCAUUUUGUGGGAGACUAAAUCUACUAGCAUAUGGGUUUACGCAUACUAAGUACAGAAGGCACAGGAGGGAAAGACACCAUUCUGGAGAGCUGCUGACUGGUGAACACUCUCACCUUCCCCAGUUUUGCUCCAUUGCAAAAUUACCUUAGGCCAAGUCUGCGGGCAGGAGCUUGCCAUUGGUUUCCCUGAAAAUUUCUGAGUAUCCAAAAGGGGUACAUACAUCCUGGUCUUUGGUGUUCCCUCCAUGAAAGUUCUGAGUAUUUGUAUUUAUCUGAAUCUGGACAGUAGUUCUAGGAUGAUCCAUGAACACCAAGUCCGGGUUCAACCCAGCAGGUCCAUGCCUCCUCCAUGCUGACCUCCACCUUGUGCCUCCCUAUUAAGAGAAGCUAAUUCUCCAUACAAUAACCCAAAAAGCUUUAAGAUAAUAGUUUUUACAGAUCAAAAGAGUCUGCUAAGUUCCCAGAAUAAUGAAUGAUAAAUGACCCAAAUCACAUCAAAAUGUAAUUUCAAA